GGUGGUGUUCCACAAGANUCGGUAUCCCCACACAUCUAUUGUAUAAUACAAGGCGCACUCCUUCGAAAUCUCUCGCUGCUGCUGCAGCAAUAAGUGUGGCUCCAAUAUAUUGGCCAUUAACUCCAGCUACAUGUAGAGCAUGUUAAAAAUUUUGUGUUUGUAUUUUCAGGAGCAUCUGACAGCCCACUUGCGUACAUAAAUAGAAAAUACAAAACAUGACGAGGGACUUAAAAUUGAAGAUGAUCAAGAGUACACAACGUUGGAAACUGACAACAUGAAGCUAAAGCAUCGAUCUUUGUUCGUCGACAUUAUAGGACAUGCCAUCAUUGCAGGCUAUUGUUGCAGAAGAAAACGCCGCAACCACUGCUGUUUUUGGUAAAUUUGUACCAGCGGUACUGCCCACCGCCGUCGGUGCAAUGAUUUUGAUAGCACAAUAAACGCCAUCUCCUGGGCAUUCCCACAGCUUGCCGACACCAGCUAUUAUAUCACGUGUGAAUGCAACUGCGGCUAAAUUUGGUUAUUAUCAGUGCAAUAGUGCCAUGUCAUUGGCAAAAAGGCUGCUGGCACAAAUAAAUCGCCCAGAGAUAUAGCCAACGAAAUAAAUAAACAUGGUGUUCAAUCGCUACUUGUGGUUUAAACUGAGAUUGCAAGUGCUCGCUUCAUUAAUGUCUUUCUCAAAACGUAUACAGUUUAUGGUUAUGUUAGUGCAAAUAUGUACAACAAUUUUUAUAUCAAAUGUUGGAAUUAAAGAUUCAACAGACGGCACCGUUGAUCCCGAUUAACUCGGUCUUAAUCCGGAUCAACUGCAGUUAAUUCCCGAGUUGAUCCGGAUCAGCGCUGCCGUCUGUUUAUGUUU